GAUGAACGCUAGCUACAGGCUUAACACAUGCAAGUCGCGGGGCAGCAUGGGGGUUGCUUGCAAUCCCCGAUGGCGACCGGCGCACGGGUGAGUAACGCGUAUCCAACCUGCCCUUCACCACGGGAUAACCCGGCGAAAGUCGGACUAAUACCGUAUGUUGUCCAUUGACGGCAUCCGAUUUGGACGAAAGGUUUGGCGGUGAAGGAUGGGGAUGCGUCCGAUUAGCUGGACGGCGGGGUGACGGCCCACCGUGGCGACGAUCGGUAGGGGUUCUGAGAGGAAGGUCCCCCACACUGGUACUGAGACACGGUCCAGACUCCUACGGGAGGCAGCAGUGAGGAAUAUUGGUCAAUGGGCGUAAGCCUGAACCAGCCAAGUAGCGUGCAGGAUGACGGCCCUAUGGGUUGUAAACUGCUUUUAUGCGGGGAUAAAGUGGCCCACGUGUGGGUUUUUGCAGGUACCGCAUGAAUAAGGACCGGCUAAUUCCGUG
rnacentral:rRNA from 1 species